AUUCACACGCACAGGCGCGUCGUUAGCAAUUGAAAACAUCCGGGGCUUUAGCCCGGGGGGGGAGCACCGUCCUGACUCCUGCGUGCUACGGUAUCUUAAUAAAUUUAAUAAUUAAUUAAUUAAUGUAUCGAUUAAUUAAUUAAGGGCGCCCCCAACACAUAGGUCGCCUAUGCCGAGCGCCAGGGCAAAAAUAAGACAUUAGAAUAGCCUAUAGCCUGCGUGCACCUACCCGAUGUCAAGAAGCCAUCGCUGCUCCGACGGACCUUUCUCCCCCAGCCAGGCAACGGCAAUUAACUACAGCCGCCCUUCCUGGGUAACGCCACCACCAAUCCCUGGUCAUCCAUUGAAGCCAUCUCUCUCACUCUGCACAGUCACACUGUUGCCGCUUCAUUCUCAUUGUCUCAUAAUCUCAUUAUUAUGGCUGC